AGCGAACGCUGGCGGCAGGCCUAACACAUGCAAGUCGAACGAACCUUUCGGGGUUAGUGGCGGACGGUUGAGUAACACGUGGGAACGUGCCUUUAGGUUCGGAAUAACUCAGGGAAACUUGUGCUAAUACCGAAUGUGCCCUUCGGGGGAAAGAUUAAUCGCCUUUAGAGCGGCCCGCGUCUGAUUAGCUAGUUGGUUGAGGUAAUGGCUCACCAAGGCGACGAUCAGUAGCUGGUCUGAGAGGAUGAUCAGCCACAUUGGGACUGAGACACGGCCCAAACUCCUACGGGAGGCAGCAGUGGGGAAUCUUGCGCAAUGGGCGAAAGCCUGACGCAGCCAUGCCGCGUGAAUGAUGAAGGUCUUAGGAUUGUAAAAUUCUUUCACCGGGGACGAUAAUGACGGUACCCGGAGAAGAAGCCCCGGCUAACUUCGUG
rnacentral:rRNA from 1 species